rnacentral:tRNA from 1 species
UGUGUUACACCGGAUGAACGGAUUACCUUGAUGAAGUAAAAUAUGGGAAAAUCCCCUAACACUU